rnacentral:lncRNA from 1 species
UUCCUUAGACGCAAAGGAAUGAGUAGCAUAAGCUUCUUAGCUUCUUUUCUUAAAUAUGAGGAUGAUACAUUGGAAAUUACAGAAAACACAAUGCAUACAAAAGCCACGUAAUACAAACUCAUUAAUUUGUUUAAAUAGCUGUAGCUUAACAACUUUAACGACUAGAACAACAUCUUGGUACUGCCGUUGUUGUGUAACUAAGAGAUUUAUCAGCGGCCAUUGCCGCCACCACCACUGCCAGAUCCACUUCCUACACCCACACCUUUUCCAGCUCCAGUACCAACACCAACUCCUAUGCCAAUCCCAACUCCAGCUCCAAAUCCUCCGCCAUGUCCGCCUCCUAAUCCUCCACCAUGUCCGCCACCUAAUCCUCCACCUCCACCAGCUCCACCACCAAGUCCUCCUCCUGCACCACCUCCUACACCUCCUCCAGCUCCAAAUCCACCGCCAUGACCUGACCCUCCACCAACACCUCCUCCUCCACCACCACCGAAGCCACCACCUCCUCCAACACC